rnacentral:lncRNA from 1 species
AAGGUACACACACAGAGAGAGAGAGAGAGAGAGAGAGAGAGAAUCCAGCCUACAACAAUUUCAUUUCUCAUUAAUGCUAACUUAGCUAAGGCCAUUCCAUCCACUUUAAAGUAACUUCAUGUGAAAACAGAUUGAAUUUCAAUUUUACUAGGAGAUCGUUUGUAUGAUGCACCAUAUGUAUCAUACCGUUCUCUGGAUAUACCUGUUUCAAGAUAACUAUGCUUCAGACUUCAGAGAACAAUAAUAUACAACAAGACCAAACAUAAAAAAGCCAAUUAAAUUACUGCAAAUAAAAGUCUGCAAAUACAAUAAGACCAAUAUAUAUAUAUAUGUGUGUGUGUGUGUAAAUAAAUAAAUAAAUAUAUUUUGCACCGAAACACGGUCUUAGAAAGAGUGAUUUUGGUUUUUGAUUCAACAAGAGUGAGAGUGAUACAAACCGAUUAUUUUUAUUGAAACAUAAAAUAAAAUGAAAAGGACAAACAAUAUAGAAGAGUAAAAAUAGAUUAGUUUGAGGAAAUUUAAGCCUUCAAAAUAAGUAUAGAGCAUUAGAGAAACCAAUAAACUUCUAUAUACAACUUAAGUUGUAGUAAAAAACUAUAAAUCUAUAAUCAUCCCAUGCUUUAUCUUAAUCCAAUUAUUCCUGAAAAUAAGAGACUUCAUAGCUUCUUCAUUUCGAAUUUCCUAUAGACAAGUACAACUUUUACUUUCUUUUGGCAUUUCUCAAAUAUUAGCUCUCUAUAAACUUGAGAAGUGUUUAUAUGGGUUGAGAAAAGCUCCUUGUUGUUUCCAUAAAGGUAAAUAUAUCUUGAAUUCUUAACCUUUUGGAGGAAUUUAUAUCUUUAGGUUUACGAAGAGAAAAUGCCAACAAUCUUCAGCUAACCCACUUGAACACACCCUUCUUUCCUCUAUUGACAACUAAGAUUACUGCGGGGAUCUCAUAAUCGGGCUUUGGUUCUCGAAUGAGUUUGAUAAACCUUCGUCUCUAGAGCUGGACCCAAUUGAGGUUUUUAGAUUUAUAGAAACCCAUGGCCUACUUCAACCCAAGAACUAAUUCAAAAAUAGAAGAUUCCUCAAGUUUAUAUUGUUAGCCUAGUUACCAUUAUCCUUGAGAUAAUAUCCUCAACAAUAUUCCCAUUUUACGGCGCAGUUCGGAGAUGAUACAUGUAAUGGUAGGCAAUCUGGGGGGCUGAAUCCAAUUUGGUAAUCGCCACCUUUCGGCUGCUUUAAAAUGAAUAUUAUUGAUGCUGCAAUGGAUCAGACGGCUGGGAUAGCAGGACUUGAUAGGAGACAGCAAGAUUCUGGGCCUAGUCCUUUCUUGGGCUUCUCUCCCUUUUUAAACUUGUAGUUUCAUUUUCGUAAUGGACCUUUUGCUCUUCUUAAUUAGGCCUGGGCAUGCUGUAAGUGUUUUCUUGUCGGAGUUAAAGCGAGUGAUGACAAACUUUACGCAACGUGGCUCCUGCGUUUCUACUGUGCAAGUCAUUUUUAUUAAUCAAUUGUCUACCAUACUAUUUACUUUGAAAUAAAUUGAUAUUUCAUUCAUCAUAGAGAACUUUGAGUACCAUCGUACAUCCACUACAAACACACAUAAAAAUCGAUUAACAGAUUAUUUAUUGCAAGUAGACAAUAGAUUAAGUUAUUGUAUUUUCAAGUUAUGAGAGGAAAAACGAUUAUUUAUAAAAUGCAAUGUAUAUUCAUUCUUCCCUUAAUCCACAGGUAAUUAAAGUUUUAAUAAAUAGAUGUAUACAGGUAAUUGCCUAAGGUCUACCAAGCUUCUCAGUUAAUCUACUCAAAAGAAACUUCUCAACAGUCACGUUUUGAUAAAUUGGGAUAUUUUUAACGCCUUUAAUCUUUGAAAGCUCACUCUUAGAAUUGGUUGCCGAGUUUCCGACUAUUAAUUCAACUGUAGUCAUUACUACACGCACACAUAUUUAUGCUUAUGAUACAGUCAGAUUGAAUCUGUUAUAGGCUAAUUAAUUACAAUAUGUUUCUUUUACAAGCUAUAUGAUUGGACCUUAAUUAAUGAUCGAAGAAGAAAUUAUAAGAUUAAGUACUUCUCCUAGAGCUAAUAUUAAUGUAACAAAACAACUUCAGAUAUUUCCCAAUAAGCCACUAGAUCAGGAUCAAAUCCACCAGUCAAUAUUCCACGAGAUUUUUCCAUUUCAUGAAUUAAUAGGUCUGCCAUCACUAGAUUGAGUACGGAAAUUAAAAAAAAAAAAAGAGUAGAAAUGAAAAAUAAAGGAAAUAUCAAUCAUACCUUUUCUUCAGGAGAAAUCAGAUGGAGGGUGGCGCUGGUUUUUUUAUCUAAAGAUGACUCCAUGGAUAAUCCCUUGAAGCCCCAACGCUCUAUUUUUUUUUUGGUUGUUUAAGAAUUAUUUUCGACAAAGUACUUGAACUCGGGGAGAGAUAGGCCUGGAGACAUAUAUAGAUAAGGCAGCGUCUUACGGUCCUAAUGCUGCAACGUGGUCCAAUUCCUUCUCAACGGAGAAAACGUUCUGUCAUCGUCAA